rnacentral:rRNA from 1 species
GUGUAGCGGUGAAAUGCGUAGAUAUGUGGAGGACUCCCGGUGGCAAAGGCGACUCUCUGGUCUGUAACUGACGCUGGGGCGCGAAUGCUGGGGGAGCAAACAGGAUUAGAUACCCUGGUAGUCCACGCCGUAAACGAUGAGUGCUAAGUGUUAGGGGGUUUCCGCCCCUUAGUGCUGCAGCUAACGCAUUAAGCACUCCGCCUGGGGAGUACGACCGCAAGGUUGAAACUCAAAGGAAUUGACGGGGGCCCGCACAAGCGGUGGAGCAUGUGGUUUAAUUCGAAGCAACGCGAAGAACCUUACCAGGUCUUGACAUCCUUUGGCCACUCUGGAGACAGAGCUUUCCCUUCGGGGACAAAGUGACAGGUGGUGCAUGGUUGUCGUCAGCUCGUGUCGUGAGAUGUUGGGUUAAGUCCCGCAACGAGCGCAACCCUUGAUUUUAGUUGCCAGCAUUUAGUUGGGCACUCUAAAGUGACUGCCGGUGCAAGCCGGAGGAAGGUGGGGAUGACGUCAAAUCAUCAUGCCCCUUAUGACCUGGGCUACACACGUGCUACAAUGGAUAGUACAAAGGGUCGCGAAGCCGCGAGGUGGAGCUAAUCUCAUAAAACUAUUCUCAGUUCGGAUUGUAGGCUGCAACUCGCCUACAUGAAGCCGGAAUCGCUAGUAAUCGUGGAUCAGCAUGCCACGGUGAAUACGUUCCCGGGCCUUGUACACACCGCCCGUCACACCACGAGAGUUUGUAACACCCGAAGUCGGUAGGGUAACCUUUAUGGAGCCAGCCGCCGAAGGUGGGACAGAUAAUUGGGGUGAAGUCGUAACAAGGUAGCCGUAUCGGAAGGUGCGGCUGG